CACGUAGGGCGCAAGCGUUGUCCGGAAUUAUUGGGCGUAAAGAGCUCGUAGGCGGUCUGUUGCGUCCGCUGUGAAAACUCGGGGCUUAACCCCGAGCCUGCAGUGGAUACGGGCAGACUAGAGGUAGGUAGGGGAGAAUGGAAUUCCCGGUGUAGCGGUGAAAUGCGCAGAUAUCAGGAGGAACACCGGUGGCGAAGGCGGGUCUCUGGGCCGAUAUUGACGCUGAGGAGCGGAAGCGUGGGGAGCGAACAGG
rnacentral:rRNA from 1 species